CGAGUCAGACGGAGAGAUUUUUCUCUGUUCAAACUCCCUGCUCCCAUUAGUUCCCCCAAACCAAUCACAGGGCUAACAGAUGUGGAAUUCCCUCCUGCCGGGAAGGGCGCUUUCUCUGCUCUAGAAGAGUGGAAGGGUUUUUUCAAGGGUGGUGUAAGGGGCUGAGGAGAAGCAAUGGAAGCCUUGGAAGGUAAUAAGACAGAACUUCAACUUCUUUACCAGGGGAACUUUGCAAUCUAAAGGUUAGUGGAACUAUUCCCCUCCCUUAUUUUGCCCUGUCUGGUUUUGGUUUUUCUUGUUUGUUUCGUUUGUAGUUGUUUUGUUUUGGGUGGGGCAGGGGAAUCACAUUUAGUACCCAGUGUCACAUCUUUUGUAGCGUCUCAUCUGCUAGAUUUACCCAGAUUUCUCAUUUACUUCCUUCCCUCUCCUUCCUUCUCUCUUUGCGAUAAGAGUGUCCUGUAGACCAGGCUGGACCCAAAUCCAAUCUGAAACCCAAGAUGACCUCGACCUCCUGAUUCUGCUUUGCCUUCUGGAGAGCUGGGAUUGCAGGUGUGCACUCCCACCUCUGGCUGCUCGAGAGGUACCAGGGAGGUACCCCAUUAGAGCAAGCAGACGGGCAGGCAGGCAUUCUACCAGCUCGGCUACAGUCCAGCCCUGGCCUGCUGUGUUUUUAUUUUCAAACACUGUUUUCAUAUCUAGAAGGUUAGAACUGUGUGAGGGCACUCUCUAGGGUGUGUGUGGGCAGAGGAUAAGCUUAGGUGUUGUCUCAGAUGCUGUCCUAAGGCUGGUUGAGUACUUAGGCUGGCUGUCCAAAAAGGCGGGAUGUGUCUGUCUGUUUUUCUAGGGCUGCGACUACAGGUGUGAGGCGCUGAGCUUGGCUUUUUGGGAUGUUCAAGGAUGGAACUCGGGUCUGUGCUAACACUGGGUCUUUUUUUAACCUUCAUUUACUGUAUUUCAUUUCCCCUCUGUGGUCUUGGCCCUUUCUGUGGUGCUGCAGAUAGAAACCAAGACCUCAGGCUCGCUAUGCAUGCGCUGUCACUGAGCGCUAUCCCAGGCCUCUCCUCUAAGGUUUUAAGCUUAUGUAAAGUAGUGGUAACCAUUUCCCUCCACAAAGUCCGGCCGCCAUUUACUGCCUGCUCAUUAUGAGUGGCAUUUCUUGCUGCUUUGAUCUCUUUUCAGUCUUGACUGAAUGCCAGGCAAAUAUCUCUUUUUUUUUUUUUUUUUUUUUUUUUUUUUGGUUUUUCAAGACAGUUUCUCAGUGUAGCCUUGGCUGUCCUGGAACUCUGUGGACCAGAGUGGCCUUGAACUGACAGAAAUCCUCCUGCCUCAGCUUCCUAAGUAGCUGGGACCACAGACAAGGGUGGACAUAGUAGGCCUCACAUCUGUGUAUGUUAAAUUUAUAUUACCAGGUGCUGAGUAUUUUUUUUAAUAAAAAACUAUUUUUGUGUAUGGGGCUUUUCCUGAAUUAUUUUGCCUGUUAUGAGUACCUAGUACUUCGAUCUGGUCCUUGGAAAUUGUGAGCCAUCAUGUGGGUGCUGAGAACUAAACCUGGGUCCUCUGCAAGAGCAGCCAGUGAGUGCUCCUUAAGAAGCCGCCUCUCCACCUAGGUGCGGGGCAUUCUUAUGUCCAUAUAGAUACCUUUCUGGUUUAGGAUGCAGUGGAAAAAAAAACCAUUUUUCUCCUUCUAAAUCUUGUGGGUUUCUUGUUUGUUUUUGUCUUUUAAGACAGGGUCCUGGAAUUCACUAUGUAGAUCAGGCUGGUCUUGAACUCACAGAGAUCUGCUUAUCUCUUUACUAGAGUGCUAGGAUUAAAGGCAUCCACCACCAUGCCUGCCUGCUUUUAAAUUUUGUUUGUUUUUGUUUUUUUGAGACAGGGUUUCUCUGGAACUCCAGCUGUUCUGGAACUCAUUGUGUAGACCAGGCUGGCCUCAACUCAGAGAUCCUCCCGGCUCUGUCUCCUGAGUUCUGAGUGGGAACUUCGAUGAAGCUUAGGAUGAUUUUUGAACUGAUCUUUCUAUGCACCGCCACCUCUGGGUUACAUGGUUCUGGGGAACUUUCCCGGAGCCUAGUGUACUAGUCAAUGCCUCUCCUGGGCCACAGUCCCAGUCCACGCUUCUUAAUUUUACUUUAUUAGUAUUUAUCUUAUUACCCUUAUUAAUAUUUAUUAAUAUAUGUUAAAUUUCAGUAGGGGACGGCUUGUGAAAGUCCACUGUCUUCUCUACUGUGUGGGUCCUGGGGAUUGGAAGCAGGAAGCUCGACCUGCUGAGCCAUCUUACCAGCCCCUCGUUAAUUUUCAAUAGAGGGUUAAUUUAAUUCCAGUCUAGACUGAGGCCCUUCUGCGUACUUAACUUGAUGCCCCAGGAACUACAUGAGUUAGGAGGGAGCUUCGUGUGCAGCUGGCUGUGGUCCUUUUGGCUGGUUCCUAAGACCUGUGGGUCACUAACGCUAGGGACUGAGUAGAGCAUUUGCCUAGAAUGAAUGCAUCAGGUAGGAGCUAAGGAGGGUCACGUCCAGUCCCCAGGAACUUCCUCUCCACCCCCACACCCUUAACUACCAGAAGAAAGAGGCAGUGCAAGUUUUCAGAGUGUGUUCUCUGUGCAGCACUUUCCUGCUGCCCCACUGUGUGCCAAGGCCUCACAGGAAGCUGGGCACUUAAAGGCUCAUCACUAACUUCCCCUCUCAGGGGUCAGAACUUUGUGCUGCCUCAGACCUAGUGGCUAAAGUCUACUGUUUCAUGUAUUAUGUUCAAAGAGGAAGAGCAUUACAUUAAUUAAUUUGUGCAUGCAUGUGUGCACGUGUGCGCAGCUAUGUGCAUGCCACACAAAGCAAAGGUCAGAGGACAGCUUCGGGGCGUCAGUUAUUUUUGUUCCAUGAGACAGAGGAGACAGAGCUCCCGUCUUCAGCUUGGCAGCCUAUACUGAGCUGCUAUGCUAGCUUUCCAAGCUUUAAUUGUUUCUUGUGUAGGUAGAUAAAGCCACCACCGCUCUGCAGUGUUUUAAAUGUGUUUAGUUUCUUAUCUAUCUUUGUGGGUGUGAGCAUGGGGGCCUGCAUUCCUGUGCCCAGAAACUAGGACAGCGGCUCUCUGCCGUUCCCACAUCCCAUCAUAUUUGAGAUGGGCUCUCGCACUAGAACUAGUUUGCCAUUUCAGCUGGGAUGCCUGGCCAGAGAGCUUCUGCACUGCCUUGGCCUCUCUCUGCCUCAGGAGCUUCUAGAUCUGCCUGCCUCCUCCCUGGCAUCCUUGGGGUUACAGGAACACAUAGCUACGCCCAGCAUUUUACUCCGCUGGUUUCAUCUAGACCUUCAUGUUUACACAGUAAGUGCUAGAACCGCUGGGCUAUCUCCUUAGCCCUCCUACCCCUGAGGUUUCAGUUAAAGAAUAAAAUCACUUUAAGGGAGCUAGAUGUGAUGAUGUGUGCUCCUGUCUAUAAUGUCAGCCAGAGGGAGGCUGAGGCAGGAGACUUGUCUAGAAUUUGAGGCCAGCCAGGGCUACCUAGUAAGUUUUAGUCCAGCUUGGACUGAGAAUAAGAGUUUGUCUUAACAGGAGCCAGUGGCCUCUGAGCCUUGGCUGCCACUCUGGAACUUCCUUGGUGGGAGGAGGGAGCUGAUUUCUCCUAACCACCAAAUCCCAAUCGUGGUGUACCGAGUUCCAGCAUAUUCACACAAGGUAAAUGUACCCGAAACUCUGAAAAGUCAGGGAGCAUGGACUGAAAUCAGACUGUCCCCAAGAGUGAGGACGGGGCACUUCCUCUUUGACUGUGAUGGAGCUUGGGAAACGCAAGGCUUCUUGUAACGUGGUCAGUAAUCAUGUUCAGGGCUAUAAGAAGAUCCAACUCCUACUGUUAGCCAGGUACUAUAUGAGGGGCCUGGACAUCAAAGUAGGACGCCAUGACAUGUAAUGAAGGCAGAAAGCUAGCAGGGUUUUGUGGCACAAGCCACUGGUCACAGCACUCCAGAGGGAGAGGGUGGGAGGCUCUCUGAGUUAGAGGCCGGCCUCGUCUGCACAGCAAGCUCUAGGCCAGACAGGGCUCUAUACAGCCUAAGAAUCUGCUUGAAGGGAAAGGUAAACACAAUGCAUGUUUUAUAGGACUGAGAACUUUACCCACUGUAUAAGGAACUGUUUCCAAAGGGCACCCAGAGCUUGUUAGGCAAUGCCCACUACUCACAGAAUAACUCAUUUUUUUUAUUUUGUUAUUUUGAGCAGGGUCUCUCCACAUAGCCCUGGCUGUCCUGGAACUCACUAUGUGGAUCAGGUUGGUCUUGAACUCACAGAGAUCUGCCUGCCUCUGUCUCCAAAGCAGUAUGAUCAAGGGCGUGCAGCACGGGGCCAGCGUCAGGAUGAGUUGUACUUUACUGUCAUUUAGGAUGGUGCUGGGCUGGCAGGUCUGUAGCUACAGGAUGUCACCCACUAGGGUGUCUGCUGCCUCUAGGGAGCUCAUUGCCUUUUGAAGGAGGUACAUGGAAGCUGGCAGGAUGGCCCAGUGGGUAAAGGUGCUUGCCACACAAGCCUGGCAACCUGAACUCAAUCACCAGCGCCAACUGCACGGAGCUGUCGUGUCUCCAGGCGUGCACUGCAGCUGGUUCGCCCCUUCCCCGUCCCGGAACACUCUCCUCGGCCUGAUUUCCCUGACUUUUCCAGGUGAGCUGACGAGAAUCUUCCUGGACUGACACCGGUAGCAGGGGUGGAAGAGAGGAGCUGUCUCCAGUGGAUGGAAGUCAGAACAGCUCCGAGGACACGGAGCAGGCAAGACUGUAGGUCACCCAGGCGGCAGGCACGGGCUGGUAAGCAGGACGACUCAUUGUCUCACUGUCCCUCCAGGUUAAUUCUGUUCCAGGGAGCGAGGGAUACCAGGCUUGGCCAACAGGGUACAAGCAGCGCUGUCCGCGGACCACUAAGGACAUCAAUACUCCAUAUCUAGUAGCUGGUCUUUCCCACCUCGUUCUACCUCAAGCACCAGAUUUCUUAUGAAAUAUGACCCCGUGAGUUAGAAAAGAACAUGACUGUGUGUUCAGUUGUAGUCUGUGGGAGAAGACAAACUAAACUGAAGUUGUCAGGGCAGGAGACAGGACUGGCAGGUGUGACGGUUUGAAGAAUGGCCCCACAGGCUCACCAGGGAGUGGCACUAUUUGAAAAAUGAUAAGGAUCAGGAGGGGUGGCCUUGUUUGAGGAAGUGUGUCACUGGGGUGGCCUGUGGACUGGGAUGUAUCUCAGCUCCGGCUCCAGCAUCACGUGGGCUGCAAUGCUCCUAGCCAAGAUGAUAAUGGACUAAGCCUCUGAAAUUGUAAGCAAGAAACUAAAUGCUUUCUUUAAUCCCAUGCAGCAGGGAGUCAGGCAGUGGCCAGCAGAUCGCUGAGUUCAAGACCAGCCUGGUUCAUAGAGUAAGUUCAAGGUCAGUCAGGGUUACACAGAGAAACCCUGCCGGGGGGCUCAGGUCGCCUUGGUUGGAGUUCUCACUGAUGGAACAGUGACAAGAGAGCAGGUGAAGUGCUUACCUACAGGACUAAUAUCCUGAGACUCAACCCACAGCUCUCAAGAAACUAGACAGAGCUGUGCACAUCUAGACUCCCACUGUCUCCCUGGGGAAUGGCCAGAAGUUCAUGGCCAGCCAGUGAACUGAAAGAGACACUGUCUAAAACACAAUGCAAGUCAAGGCCUGACACCCAAGGUUAUCCUCUGGGACACAUAUUCAAAGACACAUAUGCAUCACACACACAAGGAGGAGGAGUCAGACUCAAUAUGCUUGCCUCCGGCUUUGCAGUUACUGUUCAGUUAAAGACAUACAUGUUCACUGUGUCACCAGCUAAUGGCCCAGCAGAAGGGGAACGUAGAAAAGGCUAAGACGGUGACUCUAACAGUGGGCAGGCAGAAACCUCUAAUGCCGUGUGGUUUGCAGGCCUUUUAAAUUACGUCUUGACCAGGCGUGGUGGCACACACACUAAUCCCAGUACCUGAGAGGCGGAGGCAGGAGGGCCACAGUAAGUUUCAGGCCAGCCUGGCCUGCAUAGUGAGUUCCGGGUUAGACAGGGAUCUAUAAUGAAACCUUGCCUCAAAAACAAUUUAGGCCCUCUGUGGUGACAUGCGCCUUUAAUCCCAGCUCUUAGGAAGCAGGCAGACCUCUGUGAGUUCACAGAGAGUUCCAGGGUAGCCAGGGCUACACAAAGACCCUGUCUUAAAAACAAAUAACAAAAUUAAUUUUAAAAAGCAAAA